AGAAGUUUAGGUUAUAAUUAGACCAAGAGCCUUCAAAGCCCUAAGUAAGCCACACAGACUUAACUUCUG
rnacentral:tRNA from 1 species